GGCAGGAUGGCCGAGUUGGUUAUGGCGCCAGGUUAAGGUCACCUUAACAUAUAUUAUCCUCUUCCUGGUGGGGCAACCCUCGUGGGUUCAAAUCCCACUCCUGUCA